ensembl:lncRNA
GGGACAGAGUGUUUGGGAGAUCUGCCCUGAUCUGGGAGGGCUUCUGGACAAGGCGAGUGGGCGGGGAGUGGUAGCCUGGCUCCUCGCCUUCCUACUCUUCCCCGCCGACCUCAUCAUACCUCUGGGGCCAGCCCUGCUCCGCAUCUGUGAGCAACCCACCAGAGGAGUUAAGGGUUCAGCUCUGGAACCAGAAAAGCUCUGUCACUUACCAGCUGUGUGACCUUGGAUGAGGUUAACGCCCUCUCUGAGCCUCUGAGUGCUUAUCUAUACAAAGUGAUGAGAAAACUCGUGUCCAAGUGUUGUUACAAAGACCACCCCUGGGGCACUUUGGCUGGAACAAAGUUAGAGAACCGCUCAUCAAAAGCGUGAAUGCAGCUUUCCCCAAAAUGUGUUUCUGGGAACUCUGCUUCAGGGUGUCCCAUGAAAAAAGGUUCCAUCGUCACAGAAGUUUGAGAAACACUGGAUUAACCAAGUGAAAACCAUUUCCUCCUCCCCGUGGACUCGAUCCAGAGGCUGCGCCCGUCUCUCCCACGUCAACAGCCCUGUGUCCUUGGCGGAGAACAGUGCUCUCAUUCUGGGCCUUUCCCUUCUUCCUCAGCCAAACCCCUGCGCCUGCACCUCCUUGCAGCUAAUAAAAAGACUGAAUUUCCUGAUGCAGGGAAAGCCCCCACCGGCUGUCACUCACAGGGAUGAGCGAAAUCUGCCGAGGCCACACUGUCCUCAUCUACAGAUUUCCUUGCCUCCUCCACUUGCAUUUUCCCAGAGCAGCUAGCUCUGUCCCAGGCCUCAGGGUGUCCCCGGGCUGAGGUGGAAUCCAGCCACGACCACCUUCCAAAGCCAAGCAGUCCUGAGUGAACCUGCAGAAAUGCAAGCGCUGGGCGCUCCCUGACGCCGAGUCAAGAAGGUCUCCCCGUGAGAAGGCAUGAAUUGAUUUGGGACAAAAGGCACUUGCUGGUCCAGGCAGGCAGGAUUUGGGGCACCCCUGUGCAGAGUGGAGGUGGGUGGGUAUAUUUCCUUGGCCCGCAGAUCCUCUUGUCUGGUGGGAUCAGCCGCUCCAGGCAAGGGCCACCUGGCCCAGCUUUGGGAGAUGUGGAGAACGAAUUUCACAGUGAUUUCCACUGGGCCGUGGCCCUGAAACAGCUGCAGGAGGGGACACAGCUGGUGCUGCCCCCACCCCUUCCAGCAGAGCUUCUCUGGAGAAAUGCCACCUUCCCCAUAGGAAGGGAGAGGGUUCUACUUGCUGUGCUUCCAGGGGCCAUGGGAAAUUGCCUCUAAGCUAAACCUCCAUUUUUAAGGGCACAAGUUGGCUUUUAUUAAAAUAAAAUCCCAUUAUCAUUUAUUCUAGUGGCUCCCAAACCUGGCUAACCGUCGGGAUCAUCCAGGAUGUUCAUUAAAAAAUAAAGAUUAAUAAAAAUAAUGAGUUUGGGAACCCAUCCUGGACCUAAUGAAUCAGGAUCUCUUUGAGUAGGGCUAAGGCUAGAAUCAGUGUGAACCAGUUUAAAUCAGACAGCUUUCUUGAUUCCAGAAUUUUCAGCCCACAGAAUAAGAGCAUGAAGAGGGAGUGAUGAGGGCUCGGAUAACAGAGAAUAUACUUAGAGCCCAUCUACGUGCCAGCCAGAGCACUGCAGACUAAUCCUACAUUAUCUUAUUUCGUCAUCAAAAAAAACCUAUGAGGUAUGUCCAACUAUUAUCCCCAUUUUGCUGUUGAGGAGAUGGGAGCUCAAAGAGGUCACCAAGGUAGGAAAAGGCAGAGCCAGAACUCAGAUCCAGAUCUUUCUCUUAACAUCUCUGCCAUGAAAGAAUAAUGGGAAACCUGGGCACCACCUUGGAAGCUAGGCCAGUAUGUGACCAAAUUGUUACAUCACCACAAGGUGAUUUCUGGACACCUCUGUCUGGUGGGCUCACUUCCCCUGUGCUCACUUCCUUCACGUUGGUUCACCAAGCACUUGUGGACACAGAGGUGGUCAGGACAUGGCCACCAUCAAGACAGUAUGGCUCAUGGAAAGGGCACUGGGCUGAAAUCAGGAGAGGGGGCUUCUGGUCCCAGCAUCACCACCCAGAGCUGUGGAAGGGGCCUUGGUGCCCUUUCGGUGCAGAGAGAGGGAUAGACCCGGUGAGGUACAGGGGCUCAUCAACUCUUAGAAAGCAGGAUCAGCAGAGCCCAGCACUAUCUCACUGGACACUGUCCCUCUCCCACUCUGGGCCCCUCCAGGACAGUGGCUUUCCCUUAUCUGCAGGAUAAAAUCAGUGCCUCACCCAGAUGAGCCUCUCUGUGGGGUGCUGAAACUUAGCUUCUGCAGACUUCCUGGAAGAGGUGGCAACUGAGUCAGAGCUAUCUGAGAGAGGAGAGUGGAAAAAUAUCGAGCAGUGGGGACAGCACGAGCCAAAGUAUGGCUGCCUGUCCUCGCACAGUAUGUGCAGGCAGACGCAGUGCUUGUGUGUUUUAGGGUGUAAAAUGCAGCACCAGCGGCCCCAGGAAGCCCUCCUGACACCUUAGGCAGCCUCAUUUGUCUUCUACAGGGCUUUGGGGAACUCCAAGGACCAGUGCCCAGCACAUUGCCUGGGAGGGGAUAUUUGCAUGGCUGUCUCUCCACCGGCUUCUC